rnacentral:rRNA from 1 species
UACGGGGGGGGGCAAGCGUUUGUUCGGAAUUACUGGGCGUAAAGGGCUCGUAGGCGGCCAACUAAGUCAGACGUGAAAUCCCUCGGCUUAACCUGGGAACUGCGUCGGAUACUGGAUGGCUUGAAUUCGGGAGAGGGAUGCAGAAUUCCAGGUGUAGCGGUGAAAUGCGUAGAUAUCUGGAGGAAUACCGGUGGCGAAGGCGGCAUCCUGGACCGACAUUGACGCUGAUGAGCGAAAGCUAGGGGAGCAAACGGGG